rnacentral:lncRNA from 1 species
CAGUACAGUACACCUGCUGACAGAUAGUUCACUCUUUCGUUUCCAAGAUGCCACGUUGUGAGUUGCUGAUGAACAACUGGGGCAUCUGGAAGUCUGUUGGUAGUCUGUGACCUCUGACAGCUGCAGCCUGGAAAAUGGGAAGCUCUAGAAGUAUCUACAAAUAACCCCAGAGCAUCAUCUCUACCUUCUGUAGGCGUGUCUACAGAUUGGGUAUCUAGAAGGAUUGUACAAGAAAUGAAAGCAGCAGAAAUAAAAGUAGAAACUUAUAGUGAGGCCAUUCAUUUGCCUGUAAAUACAUUUAAUAG